UAUUUAUUCAGUAUACAGAAGGCUCAAAUAAUUUUCAGUGACAAGAAUGAACUGAGAUUGGUAUCUCUGGCACAAAAAUGUGAUCAGAAAGACAUGCAUCUUUUUAAGUAUGGAAAGUGUAGAAUAUUUUCUUGUAUUUUAGAUGGACUACACAUUUACAAUCUAAUUAGUAAGUACAAAAAUCUGAUAUCAACAAACUAAAAAAAGGAAAGACUAAACAGAAAGCUUCUGCAUGAAGCUCUGAGGCUGGUAAUUAAAAGGAGAUCCUUCAAUACAUAUUGCUGGGCUUAAGAGCAAGAUUUACAGACUAAACAAAAUGUUUCAACUAACUGACUAGUAAAUUGUCAUUGUUGUAGUCUUUGGAGAUAUGUCAUUUCCAUAUUUACAUUGUACAGACGUUUUCCAUAAGUUUUCAGCCAAUAUUUCAGAGAGAGAGAGAGAGAGAGAGAGACAGAGAGACAGAGAGAGAGAAAGUGAAGCAUCAUAUUUGGUUCUAGUCUUAGACUCAAUAUUGAUAAGUGUAUAACCUGGAACUAAUUACUAAGACCUUGUUUCUCAAUUUCCACAGCUGAAAUGUGAUCCAAACAAUCUUUUUGUCCAUACUUCAAAAAUUAAAAGUAAUUUACCCAAUCUAUUAAGCAGAAGUCUCAUAACUGUCUUUUCCUUUGUUCUAAUGUUUGCUUUGCACAAUCUUCCCAGGAAACCCUGUCGGUAGCAUAACUGACAGUUACCUGUUCAAAGGCUAUGUACAGACAAGGCCACCCCCCAGCAGUACAGGACCACUUAGAAGUUACUGACUUAUGGUCUUAUAGUAACCAGCUGCAAAACUGUUGUUUCCAGAAUGUAGCUGUUAAUUUGUAAACACAAUGAAAACUGAUGAAAGCAGCAUUGGUGACUGAAUGUUUACUUUGCCAAUAAUUGGGUCUAGCAAACAUGGGACUUUGAAGUUCAGUUAUUGCAUAUACCUAUCAACAGUCCAUUAUUUACCGGAACUGGCAUGAUAUAGAAGUACAGAAAUAGGUUUGGGUUUUUUUACUGAAAUAAGGAAGCAAUAACCAGAAUAGGCUUGGCCCUAUUUGCGAAGUCAAUGCAUUAAACUGUUGAUGCAAUAUAUUAACUUGCACCCAACAUCUCUAUUUUCAAAAAUUCUACAUGACCAAAUAUGGAAACA
rnacentral:lncRNA from 1 species